AUGAACGCUGGCGGCGUGCCUAAUACAUGCAAGUCGAGCGAACAGACGAGGAGCUUGCUCCUCUGACGUUAGCGGCGGACGGGUGAGUAACACGUGGAUAACCUACCUAUAAGACUGGGAUAACUUCGGGAAACCGGAGCUAAUACCGGAUAAUAUAUUGAACCGCAUGGUUCAAUAGUGAAAGACGGUUUUGCUGUCACUUAUAGAUGGAUCCGCGCCGCAUUAGCUAGUUGGUAAGGUAACGGCUUACCAAGGCGACGAUGCGUAGCCGACCUGAGAGGGUGAUCGGCCACACUGGAACUGAGCCACGGUCCAGACUCCUACGGGAGGCAGCAGUAGGGAAUCUUCCGCAAUGGGCGAAAGCCUGACGGAGCAACGCCGCGUGAGUGAUGAAGGUCUUCGGAUCGUAAAACUCUGUUAUUAGGGAAGAACAAAUGUGUAAGUAACUAUGCACGUCUUGACGGUACCUAAUCAGAAAGCCACGGCUAACUACGUG
rnacentral:rRNA from 1 species